UACGUAGGGGGCUAGCGUUGUCCGGAAUCAUUGGGCGUAAAGCGCGCGUAGGCGGCCCGGUAAGUCCGCUGUGAAAGUCAAAGGCUCAACCUUUGAAUGUCAGCGGAUACUGCCAGGCUAGAGUCCGGAAGAGGCGAGUGGAACUCCUGGUGUAGCGGUGGAAUGCGCAGAUAUCAGGAAGAACACCAACGGCGAAGGCAGCUCGCUGGGACGGAACUGACGCUGAGGCGCGAAAGCGUGGGGAGCGAAACAGG
rnacentral:rRNA from 1 species